rnacentral:Y_RNA from 1 species
GGCUGGUCCAAGUGCAGUGGUGUUUAUAACUAACUGAUCAUCACCUUUUACAGAUUUGUUUGUUCCUUCUCCACUCCCAUGGCUCCAUUUUAAUAGCCUUUA